UACGGAGGGUGCAAGCGUUGUCCGGAAUCACUGGGCGUAAAGGGCGCGUAGGCGGCUCAUGAAGGCUGUGGUGAAAGUCCGGGGCUCAACCUCGGAUCGGCCGUGGCGACUCGUGGGCUGGAGCACUGUAGAGGCGGGUGGAAUUCCGGGUGUAGCGGUGGAAUGCGUAGAUAUCAGGAGGAACACCGAUGGCGAAGGCAGAUCUCUGGGCCGUAACUGACGCUGAGGAGCGAAAGCAUGGGGAGCGAACAGG
rnacentral:rRNA from 1 species